rnacentral:sRNA from 1 species
CAAGCCAAGUGCUCACAGAGCAGCCCACAGAGGGCUGUGGGACAGUGAUGACCCUGUUGUGCCAGGUUUCAUGGAUGAAUUGGAUUUUUGAAAAGGUCAUUGUAAUGCAAUUCACAGAAGCUGUGAGUCCUUCAGUGCUACCCCCUUCAGCUUUGCCACUGGACCUGCUUAAUAAUGCUAUAACUGCCUUUAGUACCUUGGAAGACCUUAUUCGAUAUCUUGAACCAGAGAGAUGGCAGUUGGACUUAGAAGAUCUAUAUAAGCCAACUUGGCAACUUCUUGGCAAGGCUUUUGUUUUUGGAAGAAAAUCCAGAGUGGUGGAUCUGAACCUUCUAACAGAGGAGGUAAGAUUAUACAGCUGCACACCUCGUAACUUCUCAGUGUCCAUAAGGGAAGAACUAAAGAGAACCGAUACCAUUUUCUGGCCAGGUUGUCUCCUGGUUAAACGCUGUGGUGGGAACUGUGCCUGUUGUCUCCACAAUUGCAACGAAUGUCAAUGUGUUCCAAGCAAAGUUACUAAAAAA